AUGAUUGUCAAUGUUAGUGGUUCAUCUUGCAGGAGGAAGGAUAAAUUGCUUGAUAAGCAAAAGAAGAUUCUUUUGGAUAAGAUUGAGAUGGGUGAGAUGCCCACGGGAAGAUGGAAAAAUCAAGCAACCUCAUUGGUCAGACCUGGAGAUACACGUUGGGGCUCUCAUUACACAACUUUAUCUCGCAUUGAAUCAAUGUGGGAUGUAGUGAUAGAAGUUUUGGGCAUUGUUGAGGAGGAUGUGCGUGUUCCAUGUAGGGCAGGAGGUUUGGUUCAUCAAAUGGAGACUUUCAGCUUCGUGUACAUCCUAAAGAUGAUGUUAAAAAUCCUUCGUAUGACGAAUGAUCUAUCUCUUCUAUUGCAAAAGAAGGAUCAAAAUGUUGUUCAGGCUAUGUCAUUGGUUACAGAUGUGAGAACACGUUUGAUAAAUUGGAGAAAUGAUGGUUGGAAGCCACUCUUGGAAGAUGUCAAAGCAUUCUGCACCAAAAAUGAAAUUCCAAUACCAAGUAUGGAUGACACCUUCACAAAAUGGGGGAAAUCAAGAAAAGGUGGAAGAAACAAUGUCACUGCUGAUCAUUUUUCCCGUGUGGACACCUUUUCUAUGUUUCUAUAG
rnacentral:rRNA from 1 species